GCCGGAGUAACUCAGGGGUAGAGUAGUAGUUUUGUAAACUACAAGCCGUGGGUUCGAAUCCCACCUCCGGCU
rnacentral:tRNA from 5 species